ACGAACCGUGCGAACGUUGUUCGGAAUCACUGGGCUUAAAGGGCGCGUAGGCGGGCCACCAAGUCCGGGGUGAAAUCUUUCGGCUCAACCGGAAAAGUGCCUUGGAUACUGGUGGCCUCGAGGAAGGUAGGGGAGCGCGGAACGGAUGGUGGAGCGGUGAAAUGUGUUGAUAUCAUCCGGAACUCCGGUGGCGAAGGCGGCGCUCUGGACCUUUUCUGACGCUGAGGCGCGAAAGCCAGGGGAGAGAACG
rnacentral:rRNA from 1 species